CUGAGAUGCUUGUAGUGUUCGUGCUAAGCCCAAUAAGCUUAGGGGCCGUGUAAACGGCUACGGCGGCCAAACGCGCUAAGGCGUCAGCUAUGCGCUAGUAGGUCUGAAAAGUGCCACAGUGACGAAACGAUCAGGGAAACCUGAGCGGUGGAACGGGUAAACCCCGCGAGCGAGUAACCCAAACUUUUGGUAGGGGCGUUUUGCCAAGCAAAUUGAAGCGACGGCAAUACAGCGGUAACGCUGAGAUAGAUGAUGACUGAAGGAGCUUGUGCCUGAACAAGUUCUGGAACAAAACAUGGC
rnacentral:RNase_P_RNA from 1 species